CGACGCGCCGGUGAUGGGGCUCACCGCAACCGCGGCACCAUGCCGCUGACGGUCCCUGGUCGAAC
rnacentral:ncRNA from 1 species